rnacentral:misc_RNA from 1 species
GUAGGAGUGAGCCUGCUCGCGAUGAGGCCGUGUCAGCCAGCAUUAAUGGUGACUGACACACCGCAAUCGCGAGCAGGCUCACUCCUAC